ACUAAUCAAGUAAAAAUUUAGAACGAAGAAUUGUCCAAAAAGAACGUAGGAGAGGAGGAGACUCGCGCCGCCGCUCGCUGCCGUACCGCUGCUCUGGUUACCUGUACUUUCGGCCGCCGUGAGCUAUGUCUCUCUCUGCUAACUUCCGCGUUGUGAGUAUUAGAAUCUAAUCUGUGAUUCUGCAUUGCUGCACUGCUCUUAGAAAUUAAAUAGCCUGCUGAUGAUUUUGCACUUUUUGCAACCAUCAUUUACUUCUUCUAGUUUCUUUAAUCGACGUAGUCUGUUCUAUCGAGUUCCAUUCAGCCAUUCAAUAAUACUUCUCACAAUUUAUGUAAUUAAAAAGCAACUGAUCAUCAUUCUUAAUCAAUGUAUGUAUGUAUAUAUAUAUGUAUCAUUUAAUAUUGGUGUCAUAAAAGCUUGCUCAGUUUCAGGCUUCAAUUUAGAAAUAAGAAAAAAAGAAAAAUUGUAACUGCCGUACAGUAAUUUCUUUAUGAAACAAUAACUUAUUAUUAUUAUUAUUAUUAUUAUUAUUAUUAUUAUUAUUAUUAUUAUUAUUAUUAUUAUGUGUUUUCAAUUUUCAAAAGUUUAUGAAAUUUCUUUUUAAUUCUUUUUUAUUCAUUGAAAGGAAGCCGAUUGGUUUUGGGAUUAUUUCCACAUUUAUGAUCUGCUUCCAUUCGAUUUGGGGUAUUAUGAUUGAACCUCUUUCGUCGGCUUGUAUCGUUGGUGCUUCUAGUUAUCUCCUUUCGUUGGCAGCUGGAAAUCUGAAAAAAUGACCAAAAAUUAUACUAGGAAGGUUACGAAAAAUUUAACAGAACAAAACCCUUCUGCUCAAAAUAACUGAAAUACCACUACAGUUAGUACAAGUUAAUGAGGUGCACAAAUUCAAAUAUUUGUAUGAACUUUUAGAAUAAAAAACCCGACUAUAAAUAAAUAUAAUAUAUAUAUGUAUAUUGCAUAUAUGUAUUAUUAUUAUUAUUUUGGUUGAAUUUACCGUUUUUGCUUCAUUCAAAUUUGUUGUCGUGAAGCUUAUUAGUAAAGUUACAAAGCAGCAAAAUAAUGCAGGUAUCGACAGCAAGGCCAUUCAGAGGAAUUCAAAGAGGUGCAACGAGAGAAAGUAGCUGAUCCAGAUAUUCAACUUUCUUGUGAUGAUAAUAAAAUAUUUCAGUGGACCGCUCUUGUCAAGGGACCAUCAGAGACUCCUUUUGAAGGUGGUGUGUUUCAACUUGCCUUUGCAGUCCCCGAGCAGUAUCCUUUACAACCUCCUCAAGUGAGGUUCAUAACCAAAAAGUUUCAUCCUAAUGUUCACUUCAAGUUUCGAUUGACUUAAUGGCAAUCUUAUGUAACAUGAAUAUGGAAUCUCACCAAAGAUGUGGGCAAACAAAAGCUAGGAAACUCUUAGCCAGUAAAUCUUGGAAACAAAAAGUUCGAAAUUUCAGAAGAUCAUUAAAAUACUGAUUUCUACUAAUCUCAGAAGUUUUGAAUUGAUCUUCAUCGGGAUAAGUGACAUGUAUAUCAAACUUCUUAUUAUUGAUGGAUUAUCUUGGAAGUUUGAGUUGGGAGGCCACAGGGUCAAGGGACAAAUUUCUUGAAAGCUUACGAGAGGGAUCAGUUAAAGUCUAUCUAAAACUUUAUUUGAUGAAUUGGCAGUUGUGUUAUAAUAGGGUCAACGUUUAAUUGGUGCAUCAAUUGUAAAAAGAAUAUUUAAAGUUGAGUCAUCAUUAAAUAGCUUCCUGGUGGUGUUCUUCUUCUUUAAUUUUGUUUUUCCUUUGUAGACAGGAGAGAUUUCCCUUGAUAUCUUGAAGAAUGAAUGCAUGGAGCCCUGCGUGGACACUCCAAUCUGUUUGCAGAGCUAUUAUUGCUUUGAUGGCACAUCUAGAGCCUGAUAGUCCCCUCAAUUGUGAUUCAAGGUAAACUAGUCUUCCAGCUAAAUGACUAUAUCUUAUGUCGAAAAGCUUUGAGUGUAUCAGUAGUGGAUCUGUUAUAUUUUUCCUGCCAAAGAGCUUUGUCAUUAUUCCUUUUUAUUUUUUUCCGUGUGUGUGUGUGAGUGGUAGGAGAAUAAAAUUCAAAGUGCUUGGUUGGAGCAGAGCAGAAUAACAUUCCAAGUCACUAAACUUUAAUGGCCACUUGUUCCCCCUUCCUAGAUGUCAUUAACAACUUGUUUAAGAAUAUUUCUUGCUAGAUGUCUAAAAUCACUUGAGAAGAGAACAAUUGACGCUAACCACAUAAAUCUUAUAUUUACAAUUUUAUGUAAGUGUUUAUAAUUGGAGUGUUUUCAAGCUCCCUUUGGUUCCUAGUUACCCUCCUAGAUGUUGUUUAACAACUUUUUAGGAAUAUUUCUCGCUAGCUAUCUAAAAAUCAAUGAGAAGAGAACAAUUAACGCCAACCACAUAAAUCUUAUAUUUACAAUUUUUUUAGGUAUCGUGAAGAAUAGGUGUUUUCAUUUGGUUUCUUGCUUUUGUCUUUUGCACUCAUGGAAUUGGACCUAACCUACCACCUCACUUUUCAAAAGUGAAGUAAAUGAGUUAGCAAAAUAGUUUUUACCCCUCUUCGAGUAAUAUCAUUUCCUGAGGAAAGAAAGCAAGGUACUUCUAACUACACAAACUUCGUGAACUGUAAAAUGUACCCAUUUUUGAAACCUUAGAAUAAUUUUUCGACUAAGCUGUAUACAGGUAAUCUUCUGCCUCCGAGGACACCAAUCAAUGGCAAGUAUGUACACAAGGCAUGCAACCAUGCCUAAAAAAGGCUGAAGUGAAAUGCACUGUCUGGCUCUUUGCUUUUGUCUUUUUUUUUUCCUUCUUCUUUUCUUAUUGGUAGCCAUGUGCGCGGCUCUUUUGCUUUCAGUGUCAUCAUAACGUUGUACACCAUGCAUAUCCCUUAUGGUGAUCAUGGAUUAAAGAACCGUUCAAAACAUUUUAGUACCAAAGUUGUAAUUCCCACUUUACCUUUUCAGAUCAAAUGGAAAUUGGUAGUCCAUACUCUU